GUGCCAGCAGCCGCGGUAAGACGAACCGUGCGAACGUUAUUCGGAAUCACUGGGCUUAAAGCGCGUGUAGGCGGGCCGCCACGUCGGCUGCUGAAAUCCCCCGGCUCAACCGGGGAACGGGCACCGAUACGAGCGGCCUCGAGGGGGGUAGGGGGGUCUGGAACUUCCGGUGGAGCGGUGAAAUGCGUUGAGAUCGGAAGGAACGCCCGUGGCGAAAGCGAGGCCCUGGACCCUUUCUGACGCUGAGACGCGAAAGCCAGGGGAGCGAACGGGAUUAGAUACCCGCGUAGUCC
rnacentral:rRNA from 1 species